rnacentral:rRNA from 1 species
UACAGAGGUGCGAGCGUUGUCCGGAAUCAGCUAGGGCGUAAGGCGCGUAGGCGGCCUGAUAAGUAGGGGGUGAAGUCUGCGGCUCAACCGCAAGGCUGCCUUCGUAAACUGUCAGGCUGGAGCACGGUAGAGGCAGAUGGAAUUCCCGGUGUAGCGGUGGAAUGCGUAGAGAUCGGGAAGAACACCAGUGGCGAAGGCGGUCUGCUGGGCCGUUGCUGACGCUGAGGCGCGACAGCGUGGGGAGCAAACAGG